GGACGAACGCUGGCGGCGUGCCUAAUACAUGCAAGUUGAGCGCUGAAGGUUGGUACUUGUACCAACUGGAUGAGCAGCGAACGGGUGAGUAACGCGUGGGGAAUCUGCCUUUGAGCGGGGGACAACAUUUGGAAACGAAUGCUAAUACCGCAUAAAAACUUUAAACACAAGUUUUAAGUUUGAAAGAUGCAAUUGCAUCACUCAAAGAUGAUCCCGCGUUGUAUUAGCUAGUUGGUGAGGUAAAGGCUCACCAAGGCGAUGAUACAUAGCCGACCUGAGAGGGUGAUCGGCCACAUUGGGACUGAGACACGGCCCAAACUCCUACGGGAGGCAGCAGUAGGGAAUCUUCGGCAAUGGACGAAAGUCUGACCGAGCAACGCCGCGUGAGUGAAGAAGGUUUUCGGAUCGUAAAACUCUGUUGGUAGAGAAGAAUGUUGGUGAGAGUGGAAAGCUCAUCAAGUGACGGUAACUACCCAGAAAGGGACGGCUAACUACGUG
rnacentral:rRNA from 1 species